rnacentral:lncRNA from 1 species
UUUUAAUAUGUCACACCCAUAUUUUAUAGAUGGGGCAAUGGAAGUCCAGAUGGGAGAAGUUAUUUCAGGUGAAUUAUAGAAACUGGAUUUCAAGUUUCUGAUAAGUAUUGAAUUUGGGAAGGCUGUGAACAUUCUUGAGCCCCCCUCCCAAGUUCACCUUCAACAUCCUAAAGCAGGUUGAAGAGGAAGAUGGUUCCAGGUCACUUACAAGAACAGGAACAGCCCCUCCCUCCAAAUUUGAGCCCAGAAAGGAGAACCUUUGUUACUCUAGAAAACAGUGUGUGUGCUAUUGUUUUCUCCAUAGGUCACAAACAUCCACAAGAUAUUGGUGAUUUUACAUAUUAUUAGAGCCACUGAAAUUUAUGAUGCAGGAUAUUAACGUCAAAGAGGCCAAGAUGCAUCAUUCAGAACACUGGCAGGUCAAGCAGAAACCACCGUAGUAAAAUUGAAAGCUGGAGUCAGCAAAGUAUAGCCCACAGCCAAAUCUGGCCCAUCCCCUGUUCUUAUAAAGUUUUAUUGGAACGCAGCCAUGCUCAUCGGUUUAUGUAUUAUCUAUGGCUGUUUCCAACUACAGUGGCAGAGCUGAAUAGUUGCAAAGGACCAUAGGGCUAUCAAAGCCCCAAAUAGUCAUUGUCUGACCCUUCAUAGAAAAAUUUUGCUGAACUGUAGUCUAGCUCCAAGGAUUGUUGUAUCACCUGUGAUCGU